rnacentral:tRNA from 14 species
AAGGCGCCGGAUUUAGGUUCCGGUCCGCAAGGGCGUGGGUUCAAAUCCCACCGGUG